ACCUUGAAAUACCACCCUUUAAUGUUUGAUGUUCUAACGUUGGCCCCUGACCGGGGUUGCGGACAGUGUCUGGUGGGUAGUUUGACUGGGGCGGUCUCCUCCCAAAGCGUAACGGAGGAGCACGAAGGUUAGCUAAUCCUGGUCGGACAUCAGGAGGUUAGUGCAAUGGCAUAAGCUAGCUUGACUGCGAGCGUGACGGCGCGAGCAGGUGCGAAAGCAGGUCAUAGUGAUCCGGUGGUUCUGAAUGGAAGGGCCAUCGCUCAACGGAUAAAAGGUACUCCGGGGAUAACAGGCUGAUACCGCCCAAGAGUUCAUAUCGACGGCGGUGUUUGGCACCUCGAUGUCGGCUCAUCACAUCCUGGGGCUGAAGUAGGUCCCAAGGGUAUGGCUGUUCGCCAUUUAAAGUGGUACGCGAGCUGGGUUUAGAACGUCGUGAGACAGUUCGGUCCCUAUCUGCCGUGGGCGCUGGAGAAUUGAGGGGGGCUGCUCCUAGUACGAGAGGACCGGAGUGGACGCAUCACUGGUGUUCGGGUUGUCAUGCCAAUGGCACUGCCCGGUAGCUAAAUGCGGAAGAGAUAAGUGCUGAAAGCAUCUAAGCACGAAACUUGCCCCGAGAUGAGUUCUCCCUGAGACUU
rnacentral:rRNA from 1 species